rnacentral:lncRNA from 1 species
CUCUAAAAGAUCCUUUGGCUUGGUAAUGAAAUAUCACUGAGAGAGCCUAGAGAGUUUAUGAUUUGUCUUGGAUCAGAGCCUAAUUCAGUCUAUACUAGGAUCCAACAUCAGAUGGUAAUGAACAAGAUUUCUUCGACGCUGGUGGCAGUAAAGGCAAAUUAAUGAAAGUUUUCUACAUAGUUCUUAAGAGCAAAAGUCUGCAAAGAUCUGAGGGAAGUUUGGCAGGCCUUCAUCCAUCUCCCAUAUGAGCCUGUACACACAUUAUUAUAAGAAUAACUGGAUUCUUUGAGAAGGCCACCUAAAUCAGAAAGACCAGAAGGUGAGACUACAUGGAUUAAUAAUGUACAUUGAGUGAGGAAAUGUAUCUAUUUAUUGUAAAGAUAGACAUUUUUAUCGUGCUUAUCACUCUGGAUAAAGAUACAUCAAAAUACCUCUAAGAAGUAGAGGUUGCUGGCUCUCUCUUAUUAAGAUG